AAUGAACGCUGGCGGCAGGCCUAACACAUGCAAGUCGAACGGAUCCUUCGGGAUUAGUGGCGGACGGGUGAGUAACGCGUGGGAACAUACCCAAAGGUACGGAAUAGCCUCGGGAAACUGGGAGUAAUACCGUAUGUGCUCGAAAGAGGAAAGAUUUAUCGCCUUUGGAUUGGCCCGCGUUGGGUUAGGUAGUUGGUGGGGUAAUGGCCUACCAAGCCGACGAUCCAUAGCUGGUUUGAGAGGAUAAUCAGCCACACUGGGACUGAGACACGGCCCAGACUCCGACGGGAGGCAGCAGUGGGACAUCUUCGACAAUGGGGGAAGCCCUGAUCUAGCCAUGCCGGGUGAUCGAUGAAGGCCUUAGGGUUGUAAAGAUCUUUCAGGUGGGAAGAUAAUGACUGUACCACCAGAAGAAGCCCCGGCUAACUCCGUGCCAGCAGCCGCCGCCG
rnacentral:rRNA from 1 species